UACGUAGGGGGCGAGCGUUGUCCGGAUUUAUUGGGCGUAAAGAGCUCGUAGGCGGUUUGGUAAGUCGGGUGUGAAAUCUCCACGCUCAACGUGGAGGGGCCACUCGAUACUGCCAUGACUCGAGUCCGGUAGAGGAGUGUGGAAUUCCCGGUGUAGCGGUGAAAUGCGCAGAUAUCGGGAGGAACACCCGUAGCGAAGGCGGCACUCUGGGCCGGAACUGACGCUGAGAAGCGAAAGCAUGGGGAGCGAACAGG
rnacentral:rRNA from 1 species